rnacentral:tRNA from 1 species
GAGGGUAUAGCUUAGUGGUAGAGUGCAUGCUUAACAUGCAUGAGGUCCUGGGCUCAAUCCUCAAUACCCCCC